UGAUUCAUACUUUGCACAGAGCGGACAGGCUGAAGAGCAAGAUCCGAUUUCUGUGCGCCCUGGGCGGCAUAACCACCAACAAGACAGACACAUGUCCUCCCAAACUGGGUUUUUCCGCACUGCAGGUCUACAGCGAAGCCACCAGACCCAUAAUGCCAGAUUACAACUAGCACCAGACCCAUAGUGACAGGAGUCGCUGGUGCAUGGUGAACUGAGGAUUACCCUGCCGACCUGAACCCUCCCCACACGGGCGCUGCUCGGCCAACUGUGCGGCAUCCCCUUGAUCGGCGAUGACUCGAACCAGCGAUCUCCAGGCUAUAUGGCACAUCCUGCACUCCACAUGAAGCACCUUUACUAGAUGCGCCACUCAGGAGCCCCCUGAGCAGGUUCUCCAUUGUAAUCCAAGUUUACCACUGUAAAUUUUUAGUACAUGUUUUCCCUUACUCUGCAAAUAGAAUAUACUGUAUGUCAAGCCAACCUUCCCUUUAACCAUUCAGUCAAUCAGAGGCUUACACAUGUUAGUGGCAAUCAAUAAGAUUACAAUACGUUUCCAGACACAUGUAUUAGGCCAACAGUAAAGACACAUGACAAUAAUGAACCCUGUAUUUCAGAAACUAAGUGGGUUGAGCUUGGUCCAUGCUUGGAUGGGAAACUUGCAAAGAAAGUCACCUGUUUUAAUACUAAAAGAAGCUUAGUACACUUUUUUUGAUGAAUGUUUCAACUACAUAUCAUUCUCUACACUUUAAAACCUGUUGCUUAGUGUUAGGUGAGUGAAAAGAAGCGAUUAGUUUGACAGUGAGAAGUCACCUGUUGAUCUUCAGUAUCUGAUCAGUAAGUGGCAACAAUCUAAUUGGGCAUUUCAAAUCAGGGUGUAAAAAUUGUGUUCUUGGCAGCCUGGCAUUAGUAGGGUACAGUGUGCGUGGGGCGCUUUCCAUGUUUAUGACCUGUCUCUUCAUUGUGAACCAAGGUCAUUAAGUCACGCUCCUCCUCUAGGGCUUCAACUAUGAGCUUGUCUUGGAAAAGAGAAUCACAUCACACUAGGAUCUGUCAUAUAGGUUUACACAAAACAGUUUAGCCUGCAUAAAAAAAGAAACUAGAAUCAAGCUCCUCAUAAAGGACAUAAGAAAUAAGGUGAAUGGAAUGUGCCUUCUUGAAGCUGUAUGGCUCUCCCGAGGCCUCCUCAAAUAAAGGCAUUCUGGCUCUAGAGCGGGAGACUUGCAAAUCAGUUUCCAGCUUCUCUUCCUGUGCCGACCUGCUGGAAUCUGCUGUUAUUGUUGGCAGGGUGCCCUUAGAAGAAAAUCCCCUCCCAGAGAAGUGCUAGGAAAAUGCUGAUGACAUGACACCUUCUGAAAGGUCCUAGAAACAAUCAUGAAACAGUCAUCCUCAGCGGUCUAGCGGUAGUCUGUUCAACAUAAAUUAUACAGUCCAUUCAUACACACUGGUGUAGGGGGACUGGUCCAUUCCCAAGAGUAGCUUAGUUUUUGUUUGAUAUUCUAAAUAUAUUUCGUAAUAUUACCAGUUACCAUACAUUUAAUCUGUUGAACAUCUUGUUUUGCCAUAUGAAUAAAGACCAAUAGUGUAUCAGCUGACCGAGGGCAGAAUAAAAUACCAAUACAGCUGAGGUCAUUUAUGUCAUCAGAGAGCUGAGAAUGUAGCUUGAUUGCAUUUGCCCCUCAUAAAGGUUUAACCACAUUUUGCAGUUUUCCCUAUUAAGUCUAUGCAUACCUCUCUGGGCAUUACCAUGCUUACCGAUGAUAUUUCAUGCUUUUAUAAUGCUUUAUUACACUUUAUUAUACUUUUACUAUGGGGAAGCUUUAUAAGGGACUGUGUCCUGGAAAAACAUACCUUAGGAAGCACAUUGCACCCGUCUGUGAUAAUAAACCUCAAAUUGUAUAGUUCGCAAUGCAGGUUAUUUUCAAGUCCAUUAGCACCCAAUAACAGACCUGGAGUCAGCCAUGUAAUACACAGAGUACAAGUUCUGAAGUAAAUAAGAAAUAUUAUUAUAAAACUGUUAAUCAUAGACUUUUAGAAACUUCAAGUGAUGACUUCAAUUAUUAAUUCUUAUUCACUAUGAAAGUAUCAGAGUAAAUACAGCCAUUGAGUGUGCAAUAAACUUGUCACACUGUACCCCCUCACUGCCAGAGUUCACUAGGCUCAGUACUUUGUUCCUGUCUGUAUACAGUGUGUGUAACUAUAGUACGGCAUGAAUAAACAAAGGUUAUCUUGUCCCUACACAGAAUGCUUUACAGGGAGAACUAGGGGGAGGUUUUCAGGAAAGUCACAGUGUAACAAAAUAAAGAGAAAGUACACAAGCUGUUUAAAAAGGGCAUAGUUCAAUUAAUUUGAUUCCAUAUAAACACAUCAUUGGAGCCAGCUUUUAAACCCCAGAGCCUUACUGAAGUAGGAAAAUAUUACAUUUCUGAAUGUGCCUCUGUCUCUCUAUUGUUAGCAUGUACAGCUGGAUAUGUCUCCUCUUUAAAUGAUCCCCAGUGACACAUCCAGGAAAGGUUUUACUGUGCCGGAGUGAAGAGUUAGUCAUGCAAUCAGGAGCUCACUGGUUUGAAUCCAAUGACUGGUCAGGCACUUCCCAAAGCCAGGCAGAGAUUUCCCAGGCUGGGCCCUUGUCUCUAAGGUUCAGAAUAGCUUGGUUCAGAAGAUUGGCAGAGGUGAUUCGCUUGACAGGGGUUGCCCAUUGAUCCUCAGUCCUUCUAAUCAGUAUUGGGAGACAUUCUGAUUAGACAUUUGAAAUUGGGUAAAAAAAAAAAAGGGCUGUGGAGCCACAGGCUUGAUUUUAUCUAAUAGAGAAAAAUCAAUUAGCUAAUUUAUUUCAACCUGGUAUAUCCCUAUAAUUGACCUUCUAGAGGGAUUUCCAUUCCAUGCAUACUUGUUUCUGACCACAAACAAACAUGAAGUGCAUACAUUUUUAGAUUUCUCCCCAUUUUGUGUAAUCCUAAUUUCCAUUAUCCCCAGAUUUUGAUAUCACAGAACCAUAGUUUCAUCGCAACUGGUUAGAGAUAUGUAAGAAAAUGGAAAUGUGACAUAUCCUCAGUGGAAGAUUAUUAGUUUUCAUGACAAAGAGAAACUGGAGAGUUAUCCCUUUAAACUUGAAAGGCUUUAUUUAACUUCAUCAACCCACGAACAGAAUGCACAGGUGCAGAUGAUAGGUUGUGAGAAAUGAGGUAGCCUAGCAAGUCCAAGCAUCUGCUACAAACUGUAUCUGAAUCCCAGCUAGGUUUGGAUGAUACCUUGUCAGCACUUCUGUCAACUACUGAUGGCAAUCUUUAAAAGCUGUUAGUGAAAAUAGCUGACAACUUGUCUGUAGCAAAUGCUGGGCAAAGCAUAUUAAUCUGUGGUGAAAGCAACUGAAAGGGGGCAUUAUGUAGAGCAAACACAAAUACACAUUACUCAGCUGUAGAUUCAUUAUCCAUACAAUGUGAAAAACACUGAACCACAGCAAACAACAGAUUAAUGCAACUCAAAGAGAAUUAUCAGAGAAUACACACACCAUGCCACCUGGACCAAGGCUGAUUUGUGAAGGAGCUCACAGCAGUAGACAGCUUGGCCUCCAUGCUGCAGGAUCUACAACAGCAGACUUAUUGCACAUUUUAUGGGGAGCCUUCAUGAGCUACCGAACGUGCGCAUUGUUAGUAUCGUUGAAUUAUAUUUUAGUUACAGUUUUGUUUUUGUUAUGUGUCUGUAUGUUCUCCGUUCCUUUUUUCUACCUUGCCACAUGGUGAGGGGAAUUGAGGAAGCAAUGCCUUUGUUCACAUAGCCACAUGUUUAUUUUUUUCCCAUUUUUAUCUUUAUAGUAAAUUAUAUUUUCAUAUUGUU